GGUCUGUAUUUCAGUGGUAGAGAGCUUCCCUAGCAUGUGUGAGGCCUGGGUUCCAUUCCCAGCACUG
rnacentral:tRNA from 1 species